rnacentral:rRNA from 1 species
UCCAAGGGAAACCAUAAGUUUUUCGGUUACGGGGAGAGUAUGGUCGCAAGGCUGAAAUUUAAAGGAAUUGACGGAAGGGCACCACCAGGGGUGGAACCUGCGGCUUAAUUUGACUCAACACGGGGAAACUUACAUGGUCCAGACAUCGAUAGGAUAAACAGACUGAUAGAUCUUUUUUGAUGCGGUGAGUGGUGGUGCAUGGCCGUUCCUAGUUCGUGGAGUGAUCUGUCAGGUUUAUUCCGGUAACGAACGAGACUACAACCUUCAUUUAAGAGGCAGAAGCAGGUUUCGCGAUUGACUGUGCUUCGGUGCUUUCUUUCGUGUCUCUGUAAGAAAGAAUAUGCGAGUUCGCAGUGAUCAGGGUGAUCGGGCAACCGUGAACUCUGUGAUCUGAUGGAAGAAGUGUAUUUUCUCUUUUGUCAAGCAGUCUUGGGGUAACCUUUGGCUGACUUAUGGAGGGACUGCUGGUGUUACAAAACCAGAGGAAGUGUGGCGAUAACAGG